GGGUUGUGAGGUUAAGCGACUAAGCGUACACGGUGGAUGCCCUGGCAGUCAGAGGCGAUGAAGGGCGUGCUAAUCUGCGAUAAGCGCCGGUAAGGUGAUAUGAACCGUUAUAACCGGCGAUACCCGAAUGGGGAAACCCAGUGUGAUUCGUCACACUAUCAUUAACUGAAUCCAUAGGUUAAUGAGGCGAACCGGGGGAACUGAAACAUCUAAGUACCCCGAGGAAAAGAAAUCAACCGAGAUUCCCCCAGUAGCGGCGAGCGAACGGGGAGGAGCCCAGAGCCUGAAUCAGCAUGUGUGUUAGUGGAAGCGUCUGGAAAGGCGCGCGAUACAGGGUGACAGCCCCGUACACAAAAGCGCAUGUGUUGUGAGCUCGAUGAGUAGGGCGGGACACGUGGUAUCCUGUCUGAAUAUGGGGGGACCAUCCUCCAAGGCUAAAUACUCCUGACUGACCGAUAGUGAACCAGUACCGUGAGGGAAAGGCGAAAAGAACCCCGGCGAGGGGAGUGAAAAAGAACCUGAAACCGUGUACGUACAAGCAGUGGGAGCACAGGUUUACCUGUGUGACUGCGUACCUUUUGUAUAAUGGGUCAGCGACUUAUAUUCUGUAGCAAGGUUAACCGAAUAGGGGAGCCGGAGGGAAACCGAGUCUUAAUUGGGCGUUAAGUUGCAGGGUAUAGACCCGAAACCCGGUGAUCUAGCCAUGGGCAGGUUGAAGGUUGGGUAACACUAACUGGAGGACCGAACCGACUAAUGUUGAAAAAUUAGCGGAUGACCUGUGGCUGGGGGUGAAAGGCCAAUCAAACCGGGAGAUAGCUGGUUCUCCCCGAAAGCUAUUUAGGUAGCGCCUCGUGAAUUCAUCUCCGGGGGUAGAGCACUGUUUCGGCUAGGGGGCCAUCCCGGCUUACCAACCCGAUGCAAACUGCGAAUACCGGAGAAUGUUAUCACGGGAGACACACGGCGGGUGCUAACGUCCGUCGUGAAGAGGGAAACAACCCAGACCGCCAGCUAAGGUCCCAAAGUCAUGGUUAAGUGGGAAACGAUGUGGGAAGGCCCAGACAGCCAGGAUGUUGGCUUAGAAGCAGCCAUCAUUUAAAGAAAGCGUAAUAGCUCACUGGUCGAGUCGGCCUGCGCGGAAGAUGUAACGGGGCUAAACCAUGCACCGAAGCUGCGGCAGCGACGCUUAUGCGUUGUUGGGUAGGGGAGCGUUCUGUAAGCCUGUGAAGGUGUGUCGUGAGGCAUGCUGGAGGUAUCAGAAGUGCGAAUGCUGACAUAAGUAACGAUAAAGCGGGUGAAAAGCCCGCUCGCCGGAAGACCAAGGGUUCCUGUCCAACGUUAAUCGGGGCAGGGUGAGUCGACCCCUAAGGCGAGGCCGAAAGGCGUAGUCGAUGGGAAACGGGUUAAUAUUCCCGUACUUGGUGUUACUGCGAAGGGGGGACGGAGAAGGCUAUGUUGGCCGGGCGACGGUUGUCCCGGUUUAAGCGUGUAGGUGUGUGUUCCAGGUAAAUCCGGUU
rnacentral:rRNA from 1 species